CCUUGCUAUAAUUGCUGCCACCUAGGAUAACUGGAAAAGUAAUGACACCGUUCAAAAGUUGCCUAAGUAUUUCCAGUCUGAUUUCGACUGGCCUUUGGGGGUGUUGAAGAAAAAAUUAAUGUUGUUCAACAUAGUGUAAGCUGUUCAGAAGAAAAGUGGAGAAUUCGAUACAUGUUUAUAUUUUGAGACUCGUGAUGAAAGAAUAUUGAUUAUUGCAUUGGAGCCAAGUGCUGUCUUGCUCUGGCUAAGGGUGGCUUAUCAACGGAUCAUGUCCUGAUUUUGCCUAUUGGGCAUUACCAGUCAGUGGCUGAACUUUUUGCAGAGGUGGUGGAAGAAGUAAACCAGUGUUGUUUGAAAGAAAUUACCAGAGUCCGCACCUACAGUUGCAGGUGAUUCCUGUACCACUCACUGUUGUGCUACUGAAGACAUUAAAGAGUCCUCUAUUGUACAAGUGCAAGAACAGAUCGAAUUACUAGAAAUCCCAGAGCACUCUGAUAUCACGCAAGCGAGACAUAGACUUCAUUCAAGAGGCAAUGAGACCUAUUCUUCA